CCUACGGGAGGCAGCAGUGGGGCAUAUUGCACAAUGGGGGAAACCCUGAUGCAGCGACGCCGCGUGAGUGAAGAAGUAAUUCGUUAUGUAAAGCUCUAUCAGCAGGGAAGAAAAUGACGGUACCUGAGUAAGAAGCCCCGGCUAACUACGUGCCAGCAGCCGCGGUAAUACGGAGGGGGCAAGCGUUCUCCGGAUUUACUGGGUGGAAAGGGAGCGUAGACGGCAGUGCAAGUCUGGAGUGAAAGGCGGGGGCUCAACCCCCGGACUGCUCUGGAAACUGUACGGCUGGAGUGCAGGAGAGGUAAGUGGAAUUCCUAGUGUAGCGGUGAAAUGCGUAGAUAUUAGGAGGAACACCAGUGGCGAAGGCGGCUUACUGGACUGUAACUGACGUUGAGGCUCGAAAGCGUGGGGAGCAAACAGGAUUAGAUACCCCUGUAGUC
rnacentral:rRNA from 1 species